GUAGGUGGCAAGCGUUGUCCGGAAUUAUUGGGCGUAAAGCGCGCGCAGGCGGUUCUUUAAGUCUGAUGUGAAAGCCCACGGCUCAACCGUGGAGGGUCAUUGGAAACUGGGGAACUUGAGUACAGAAGAGGAAAGCGGAAUUCCACGUGUAGCGGUGAAAUGCGUAGAGAUGUGGAGGAACACCAGUGGCGAAGGCGGCUUUCUGGUCUGUAACUGACGCUGAGGCGCGAAAGCGUGGGGAGCAAACAGGGAUUAGAUACCCUGGUAGUCCACGCCGUAAACGAUGAGUGCUAAGUGUUAGGGGGGUUUCCCGCCCCCUUAGUGCUGCAGCUAACGCAUUAAGCACUCCGCCUGGGGAGUACGGCCGCAAGGCUG
rnacentral:rRNA from 1 species